rnacentral:rRNA from 1 species
GACGAACGCUGGCGGCGUGCUUAACACAUGCAAGUCGAACGGAAAGGCCCUGCUUUUGUGGGGUGCUCGAGUGGCGAACGGGUGAGUAACACGUGAGUAACCUGCCCUUGACUUUGGGAUAACUUCAGGAAACUGGGGCUAAUACCGGAUAGGAGCUCCUGCUGCAUGGUGGGGGUUGGAAAGUUUCGGCGGUUGGGGAUGGACUGGCGGCUUAUCAGGUUGUUGGUGGGGUAGUGGCUUACCAAGGCUUUGACGGGUGGCCGGCCUGCGAGGGUGACAGGCCACACUGGGACUGAGAUACGGCCCAGACUCCUACGGGAGGCAGCAGUGGGGAAUAUUGCACAAUGGGAGGAAGCCUGAUGCAGCAACGCAGCGUGCGGGAUGACGGCCUUCGGGUUGUAAACCGCUUUCGCCUGUGACGAAGCGUGAGUGACGGUAAUGGGUAAAGAAGCACCGGCUAACUACGUG